rnacentral:rRNA from 1 species
UACGGGGGGGGCAAGCGUUGUUCGGAAUUACUGGGCGUAAAGGGCUCGUAGGCGGCCAACUAAGUCAGACGUGAAAUCCCUCGGCUUAACCGGGGAACUGCAUCUGAUACUGGAUGGCUCGAGUUUGGGAGAGGGAUGCGGAAUUCCAGGUGUAGCGGUGAAAUGCGUAGAUAUCUGGAGGAACACCGGUGGCGAAGGCGGCAUCCUGGACCGACACUGACGCUGAGGAGCGAAAGCCAGGGGAGCAAACGGG